GAGCCUGGGUUCCGCCUGCUGCCAGUGCCUGCGCUGCUGGGAAGGCGGGCUGUGUAGGCGCCCCCGGCGCAGUGGUUGGCCGGACGGUCCCAAUAAACAAACCAAAAAUCAAACCCACUGCCACGGAAUCAAUUCAACUCGUAGCGACCCUGUACAGAGUGUGACUGCCUCCUAGGGUUUCCAAGGAGCCGCUGGUGGAUUCCCACAGCCGACCUUCCGGGCAGCAGCCAAGCGCUUCAAAACUGCACUCCCCCUCCCCCCAGUCUUAGCGUACUUGCAGUGAUCGGCCUCUUCUGAUCGGCAUCUGCAGCCAGCAAAUAAAUCCUGAGAAGACACAGGUCAGUGACGCACAGGUGUCCUGGUCAUCACCGUACCAUGCACGUACGCAACUGACAGUUUUCCUCCAAUCGUGCUGGUCACAAAGAGCGCAGCACUACACCCAGAAAUGCACUGUUGAUGACCGUGUAAGUGCGUGACCAGAACGCGUGCUGCUCUGCCUGGCUUCACAAAGAAGGGCCAACAACCAAGUUGGAGCCUCACCACCAGGAGAGGGUCCAGGAGAAAAGGCCACAGGCUCUUGGGGGACUUGCCCAUAUGCCGUCAGUCAACAAAGCCGCUUAUUCUGAAGCAAUAUAAGCCAGUCAAGCGGUGCUUCCCAAAGUGUCAGCAGCUGGUAUCAUGUUGUAUGUCGCUAACUUUUUCUCCUAAGUGUAUCAAGAGACUGUUGUAACUAAGGAGGUGUCUAAUGGCAAGAAUCUUACGAAGAUUCACUUAGGGAAAUGUUGUAUUAGAGGACUGAGAUAUGGCUAAGGUCUUCCGGAAUUUCAAACAGGAAGAGGCGCCACUGCUUUGCUCUGUGAACGUCUCUUCAACUGGAGGGUCCUGAGGUAGAUCUCAGGGGUUCGGACACCACCAUCAUUACCAUCUUUGAGGAGAAAGACAAAGACUGUAAUUACAGCAAUACAUCUUGCCUAAUAGUAUCUUCAAGGCCCUAUCCUGGACCAGAUCAAGAUGAAUGUCAACCCGUUGGUUGCUUGGAACGCCAGGUUCUAAAGGGCACUACAUCACUGCACAAGCAAUCAGAGCAAUAAUAGAUAAGCUGGGCUUCAUCAGAAUUAAAUAUUUGUGCUUCAAAGGACACUAUCGAGAAAGUGAAAAGACAAUUCACAGAAUGGGAGAAAGUACUUGUAGUUUACAUGUCUGAAGAGGGACUGGUAUCCAGACUACAUAAAGAACCCUGGACACUCGACAAUAAAAAGAUAAAUAGCCCAGUUUAAAAGUGAAAAUCUUCUUUCUCCAGAGAAGAAAGCUAUACAAAUGGCUAAUAAGCACAAGAAAAAAUGCUCAAGUUAUUAUUAGUCAUUAGGGAAACAGAAACCAAAGCCACAAUGAGACGCCGCUUCACACCCACUAAAGACCCCCCAAACAAACCUUGACUCAGGUUGAUUCCAUACGCGUCAGAGUAGAACUGUGCCUUUCUUCUUAUGCACCUUUGGGUGGGCUCGAACCGCCAGCCUUUCUGUUAGCAGCGAGCACAUUAGCGCUUUCACCAACCAGGGGCUCCUCACACCCACUAGGAUGGCUAUGAUCAAAAUGAUGGACGAUAACAAGUGUUGGCGAGGAUGUAGAGAAAUUGUAACCCUCACACAUUUCUAAUGGGAAUGUAAACCUGCUUUGAAAAACAGUUUGGUAGUUCCUCAGAAAGUUAAACAUAGUCAGCAGAUGACCCAGCAAUUCUACUUCUAGGUACAUACUCAAGAAAAAUGAAAAUAUAUGUUGUAAAAAUGGCAUGGGGGCGGUGUCUGACCUCCUCUCACUUUAUAAGGGGGACGGAGAAUCCACAGUCCAAGGCUGAUUCCUAUGAGGCGGGGGUCAGGCAUGCCUCUGCUCUCUGCCAUCUUUACAAAUUCUGACACCAAUCAUCCCUCCCACGGCACUCUCUACUUCUCUGCUGGGUUCGAUAAUUCAUAGCAAUGGCCACACAGAACUCACAGACAAUACUUAGGAUUAUAGGGGUUAUUCAGGAAGUUAAAAAAAAAAAAAAAAACAGGUUACAAUUCAAGCUCAGGAACACUCAGGGAACACUUCUUCCAUCAGGACAGCCACUUCUCAGCCAUGCUGUAGGCAUGCCUCUCCCUGGCCCUGAGCCUCUGCCCAAAGGCACUCAGCCUUCCAACUCUGUGGACUAGGAAGCCCACCGUGCUGUCUCCUGCUGCUGGGUCUCUCCCUUUGGGUCUGACUGUCUUCAGGGUUCCAACUCUGUCUUGGUUCUCUGGCUCCAGGAGCCUCUUAAUGCAGGAAUCCCAGGUCCAAAGACGUGCUCUCUGCUCCUGGCUGUUCUCCCUUGGUGGUGGUGGGAUCCUCUCUUUCUUGCCUCUGGGGUGGCUCAUUUCAAGCCCAGCAGGAUGGCAAAACUUACCAAUUCCUUCAGUGGGCUGCAUUUACCCUAUCGAAUAGUCUUGCCCAAUCACCUGGGUGAGAGUUACAAGACCAUGGCUAGAAAGGCGCCCCAUGUCUACACAAAAAGUACAUGAGUGUUCAUAGCUGCAUUACUCAUAACAGCCAAAAAGUGGGGCCAACCCAAAUGUCCAUCACCUGAUGACUGGAUAGAUAAAAUAUACCACCACCACUACCACCCACUGCCGUCGAGUCGAUUCCGACUCAUAGUGACCCUAUAGGACAGAGUAGAACUGUCCCACAGAGUUUCCAAGGAGGGCCUGGUGGAUUUGAACUGCCAAUCUUUUGGUUAGCAACCAUAGCUCUUAACCACUAUGCCACCAGGGUUUCCAGAUAAAAUAUGGUAUAUCCAUAUAAUGGAAUAUUAUUUGGCAGUAAAAAGGGAUAAUGUACUGAUACAUGCUACAAUGUGGAUCUAGAAAACAGUACAUUAGGUGAAAGAAGCCAGUCACAAAAGGCCACAUAUUGCAUGACCCUGUUUAUAUGUAAUGCCCAGAAUAGGCAAAUCCCCGGAAAGCAAAUGAUUGUUAGGGGCUGGGGGAGGAAAAGGGGGUGGGUGUGGGGUUUCUUUUUGGGGUGAUGAAACUGUUCUGAAAUUAGAUAGUGGUGAUGGCUGUAUAACCACGUGAAUACACUAAAACCCACUGAACUGACACGUAAAAAGGCUGAAUUUAAUGGCAUAUUAAUUCUAUCUCAAUAAUAAUAAAAUACACACCAUUAGAAUAAAUGGGAAGUAGGUUGCCAGUAAACACCAGCUUCUACACAGAACUCCUCACAGGACUGGCAAAAUAUAAAACGUCCGCAAGUGGAAAAAGCAAAACCAAGUGAGUAAAAGCACCGUUCCCCAGCAGCACCACCAUACUCCCACUGAGGACUUCUGCAACGUGCAUAUGAAUAAUCGCCCUUUGCAACUUCAGGUCCAGCCCUGAACCCCAGACCGACCAGCUGACAGUCACCCAAAACUCAAGAUCAAGUGAUGUCUGGAUUAGCUGAUAGCUGGGAGUGAGUGAUUUAUUACCUAAAUUUUAAACACUUUAAUAUUUUUGCCAGAUUGAGAAAAUUAACAAAAGGAAACUGGAGAACAAAACCACAGAAAGGCAGGGAAGUGUUUACCACGUGCCAGCCAGGAGAAAGGACAUAUCUUGAGCAGUUCUUUGUUUGUGUGAGUGACUUACAUUGUCCAGUAAAAUAUACCAGAAAAACAAUGACAUGAAAGACAAUUCUAAAAAAUUGAAACAGUGCGGUUUAGGGCAUGACAGUGGUGACAUUCACUUGAGCUCUGUGCUCCUGGAAAACAGCAAUGGUUAAGAAACCCCCCAUCUACCUGCCCUUUUUGUUCGGGGAAACAGUACCUCUUAACUGCAAAGAGUCAGCCUUCCCGGUUUGACUUAGAUAAGACCAGCUGUCCUAUCCACUAUUUCUCAUGUCCCCAUAGGGCUCUCGGAUGACUCGCUUGUCCUCUGGCCGUGAUAAAACCUCAGCCCUCCUUCCUUUUCUCUGAGGAGUUCCUCAUUACUGAACGUUCUGCCUCUUGCAACCGUCUGAAUAAAAUCAUGCCCUUGAUUGCCUGAUGCAUUUCGUCUUCACAGGCAUACAGUAAACCCUUUAUCUUGAACAUAAAGAGGUGUGCAGUUUUUAUUAGUAGACAAUCCAUUCUUUCCGCCCCCACUAAGAAAAUGUUGAAAAAAUAUUUAAAGAAUGUCAGUUUGAAGGGAUGCCAAAUUAUUUGCCAGCCUGGGGUACCCACACGUCCCAGCCUGAGUUCAUCUUGACCAGCUAUCUCAAAGACACACUGUGGAGCCAAUUCCUUUGAAAGAAAAUUCAAGGAAGGUUUUUGUUUUGUUUGUUUUUUUAAAGCAAAGCCUCCCCAAGCACAGCACAGUUCUACAUUUCUUUAGUAUCCACUGUACUCCGGUUAGUUCUUCUCGGUUCUGGAGCCCACCGAACACCAAUCACCUACCUUUGCUCAGUUUUAGAUACUAAGGGGGGAAAAGUGAAUAUAUGGAACUAGUUUCAUAUAUCAUCAGAUCUCCCGGACUAUUGCUGCAUCUUAUUUCUAACUUCUCCUUACACCUAGACUAUCUUAUCUACAUUGCUAGGUGUCUUAGAUUCUUAGCGCUGCUAUGACAGAAAUACCACAAGUGGGUGGCUUUAAAGAACAGAAAUUUAUUUUGUAACAGCUCAAGAGGCUGGAAGUCCAUUCAGGGUGUGGCUCUAGAGGGAGGUCCUUCUUUGUCUGUUUCAGAAGUGAUUAGUUUAGGAUCUGCUCUACACUGGUAGGACACCCAACUGAUUGGUUACAUUACAUUAGAUUACAUUAUGGAAGGUAAUCUCCUCUGCCCAAGGCCAGCUGAUUUCAUUGUAUGAUUAAAACUUAACAGUGUGUGGCCAAGAUUUUAAUACAUAUUUUGGGGGGACACAAUUCAAUCCAUAAGACUAGGUUCAGAACCAUUAUAAAUCAUGGUUGACAAGUAAAAUGGAACUACUCUGAGUGAUCACAACUCAAUAGCUCAUUUAACUUUCUAAGUGGGCAAGUGGUGAAGAGAUUCACUCUUCAGGCCUGUUAAUGAGGACUCUCCCUGAAAUGUCUGGAUACGCUCCCCUGGCAGCUCCAUUCCUGGACUCUUCACAGGAAUCUGCUGGGCAGCUUCAGGUGCUAAACCAUAGGAUUUCCCAGGUUAGGUUUAAUUUUACCAAUACUGAACCAGGAUGAUUUCUGGAAUCCAAACUACUGUAUUAUUGAGCAUUUAUGGAGUCCUUGAGUGACGCAGGAAACCCUGGUGGCAUAGUGGUUAAGAGCUACAGCUACUGACCAAAAGGUUGGCAGUUCGAAUCCAGCCGGUGCUCCUUGGAAACUCUAUGGGGCAGUCCUACUCUGUCCUAUAGGGUCGCUAUGAGUCCGAAUCGACUUGAUGGCAAUGGGUUUGGUUUUUGGUGAGUGAUACAGUUAAACACUCAACUACUAACUCAAAGGUUGGCGAUUUGAACCCACACAGACUUGUCUCGGAAGAAAGGCCUGGUGAUGUGCUUCUAAAAGGUCACAGCCUUAAAAACCCAAAGAAGCACAGUUCUGCUCUGCAUACAUGGGGUUGCCAUGAGUCAGAAUCGACUUGUUUUUGGUUUGAACAUUUAUGGUAAUCUCUUCAGUUACCUAUCAAAAGGAGACCUGAGUUUGUCUUACGCAAGAUCUCACUUACUGGGGCUAAGUGAUUUGGGAGUUGAUUACUUUAUCAAAGAAGCCAUUGAAAACGGAAAAUCAGAGCUAAAAAAUGGGGUUUAUUUUAGAAACUGCCUGGGCCCUCCCAUCCCUUUAGGAGGGGGUACAGGAUACAGCUUUAAAGGUAGUCUAAUAAUACCUGUUCUAAUGAUCGCCUGUUAAAACUUGUUGCCUUCGAGUUGAUUCUGACUCCUAGCAGCCCCACAGGACAGAGUAGAACUGCCCUAUAGGGUUUCCAAGGAGUGGCUGGUGGAUUCGAACUGCUGACCUUUUGGUUAGCAGCUGAGCUCUCAACCACUGCGCCACCAGGGCUGCACUGAUAAUCGCAGAGGCAGGAAAGCUACCUGCCGCUGAGGCCUUCGGUCUACAGCUUCUGUCUGCUGGUGCUUUGGGAGCAGGAAAACCAAAUCUUCUGCCAGUUAGUUAGCUGUGUGCCUGCUGGGGCACGUUCGUGGACCAUGCGCAAUGGAACGGAAUGAAAUGCUGCCAGUACUGCACCAUUUCCAGGACCAUCGUGAUCCGUAGGGUUUUUGCUGGCUGAUUUUUGGAAGCAGGUCACCAGGCCUUUCUUCCUGCUCCAUCUCAGCCUGGAAGCUCUGCUGAAACCCGUUCAGCAUCAUAGCAACACACAGCCUCCACUGACGGAUGGGUGGUGGCUGCACGUGAGGCGCACUGACCAGGAAUCAAACCCAGGACUCUUGCAUAGGAGGCGUGAUUCUACCACUGAGCUGUCAAUGUGUCUCUGUUAUUAGGUAGCUGUGGUGGCUAAAGUUGUGUGUCACCUUUGCUGGACCAUGAUUCUCAGUGGUUUGGCAGCUGUGUAGUGAUUUAGUCAUCCUCCAUGAUGUGAUCUGAUAUGAUCAGCCAAUCAGUUGCAAGAAGAAUUUCCUCCGGGGCGCGGUCUGCAUCCAAUAUAUAUGGACGUUGUGGCAAAGCUCGUUCACUUGCUCUGGAUCCUGCAGCUGGCUUGUCAUCAUCUGACCUCCAGUUCAUGGGACUUGAGCCAACAGCCUGCCAUCUUACCUGCCAAUCUUGUGUUCAUCAGCCCCUGCAGCUACGUGAGUCAGGAGAAGGCUCCAGUCUGAUGUCCAACGCACGGACUUGGGACUUGCCAGCGUCUACAACUGUAUGAGCCAUUUCCUUGAGAUAAAUCUCUCUGUAUAUGUAUUUAUACACAUAUGCUUCACUGGCUUUGCUUCUCUAGAGAGCCCAGCCUAAGGCAGGAGCAGAGUGAAUAAACAGCCCUGCUCACUGUCUCACCUACAAGUGCUAAGAGUGAGAGGCUGUGUGGUACAGUAGAAAGACAUCUGAACUGGGGGACCCAAGUUCCAGUUCUGGGCUGUUACUUUCAAGUUGUGAGAUUUUGGACAAGUAUUUCCCUUCUUUGAGCCUCUGUCUUCAUCUGUAAAAUAAGGGGACCAGGCCAAAUGACAUACGAAGCUCCUUGUUAAACCUAGCCUUUGCUCAUCCAUCACUUUAAAAGUGAGAUAAAAAAUGUAAUCAACAGUGACCUAACAGGGUUCUUGCUAAUUGUGAAAUUAAUAUUAGGCCUGGGUGUUUCUGGCAAUAUGGUGCUUAUCGUUCUUCCUACAUGUAUUUAUUGAACACCAACUAGGCACUUGAUGGGACAAUGACAAAAUCGAAGAUGGUUAUCCACAUGGAAUUUACAUUCUAGCAGAAAGAGACCCUAAACAAUAAACGUAAUAAACACAAAUUUAUAUAAUUAGGCAACAAAUCAUUUGUUUGGAUAAUUCCAGCAAGAACACCUGUCCAAGCAGCUAUCCCAAACCAGCCUGCUGUGGAGAUCUGACCAAAAAGUGAAAUGUUUUAUGUUUUGGAUAUCCUAUUGUUUUCUUUAAUCAAAUAACUAGAUUAUCUUGUUAUGGAAAGGGGGUGGGGGGGGGAAGGUGUGGUCAAGAGGCCUGGAUUCUUGCCUCAAUUAAAAGUUGUAUUUUUAAGCAACAAAACCAAUUCAAGCUAGAUUAAGCAGAAACAGAGAAUUUAUGUUAAGCAAUCAGGGGUGUGUCACAGAACCCAGAGUUGAACCCAGGACCGAGCCCCACUGUGCAAAACUGAAGGAGGAGCUCUCUCAAGGUUUGUGCAAGGGCAGGGUUGCACCCAAGAGGUAUGCCUUUUUCUUUUCACUUUUGCUAAUUUUGUUUAAUUAAUUUUUUAAAUUGUACUUUAGAUGAAGGUUUACAGAACAAUCUAGUUGUCUUUUUCAAUUCUUUGCUCUGCAUGUCUCUCUAAAAAAAAAAUUGUUUAUAAUUGUGUUAGAAUAUAAAUACAAAACAUUCGCCAUUGCGACCAUGUCUUCCGUAUACGAUCCAGUGACAUGAGUUACCUCACCGUCUUGUACCACCUGCAUCACAUUCUGUUUCCAGGCUUUCACUACUCUUAGCAGAAGCUCGGCGCCCUUUAAGCAAUAGCUCUCCCUUCCCGCCCACUCCCCCAACCCCACCACCGGUAAACUGUCAUCUCUGUGCAUUCGCUGGUUCAGGAUGUCUCUCUUGCCACAUCCUCGGCCAGCCCUGGCUGGGUCUCCGCGACCUGGACGUCUUGAAAGCAGACCCGGACGCCUGUCUGGAGCCUGGGAACAGUCUCCCCCAAGACUCCCCUCGCUCCAUCACAUCAGGCGUACUCAAGACACCGGUAUUCCACAUUUACGUGCAUUUUAUUAUCAAAAUGUUAAAGGUUUUACAGUUUGGUGCUGGAAAUUAAUAUUAAUUUGAUUUUGCCGUUUUCCCUUUGUAUUUUGAAGCCAACGAAAUUUCUUUCCAGGACCUCAAACAUUUUCCAGGACCUCUGAAAGGCUUGUGGGCCCCGCUCUGCCCUCUGGCUCUGCCUGUCCUCCCUGAGACUCGGUUCUCCUGUCCGCCUUGCAGAGAGCUCCGCUCCCUCUAAACCCUCAGUCAGCCCGCUCUGAUUGCUCCCUCUCCAAAGGGCCCCCGCCGAAAUCAAUCCAGUAUCUGAUGGCCAGAUUUGAUACCGGGGCCAGGUAAGAACCUGAGCCGCACUGGGAAGGGCUGUCAACCUCAAAGCAGACACCCGUUCUCCAUUAGCCAGCCUCUGAGGAGGCUAAUUUCAGCAGAAUCACUAAAAGUCCAUGAUACUGCAAAUGUCUUUCUGGCUGCCGGGCUGUGUGGCGGGGGAAGCAGGGAAGGGCAGUUUUCCUGCGAAAAGGAUUUAAGCAGGAGGCAAAGAGAGGCAGUAAAAUAAUCCUGCACUUCACCUUAGGCUGACCACGAAAUUCAACAUUGAGGGUUUUGAAGGGAGAUUCACAAGAAAAGGAGGGCUUGGGUUAUCAGGGAAACACCUGAAGGCAAGGAGGUGCAGAAAGCAGGCAAGAAAUGUGUGGAAACAAGUUAGAGAGAGCACAGGAGACCAACGCUUAGUGUUACUUUUACCCCCAAAAGAAUUUAGCUGAUCGCACUGUUUGGACUUGGAUAGUUAGUUUAAGAUACUAGAUAAGGUCACUGUGUUGUCCUCUGAUCCAGCCUCUAACCAGGCUGGAGCCCAGCAUGUAUCUCGACUGAGGCUGGGGAGCACUACAGGCUACAGAAAGAACCUUUGAGAUAAACAGAUGAACAGGCAAGCUGAUGAGAGGUUGUAAACUACUUAUCAUAGCGGAAUUAACUUCCCGAUUCCCAGCCUCAGUUUUCCCACUACCACCCGCUACACAGACAUUGGAGUCCCUGGGUGGUGCAAGGAGACCUUGGUGACAUAGUGGUUAAGUGUUAUGGCUGCCAACCAAAAGACUGGCAGUUCGAAUACACCGGGUGCUCCUUGGAAACCCUAUGGGUCAGUUCAACUCUGUCCUAUAGGGUUGCUAGGAGUUGGAAUCCGCUCUGCAGUAAGGAGUUUUUGGUUUUAAUGGCUGGUGCAAACAGUGAAUGCAUUUGGCAGCUAACCAAAAGGUUGGAGGUUUGAGUCCACCCAGAGGUACCUCUGAAGAAAGGCCUGAAGAUCUGCUUUUGAAAAAUCAGCCACUGAAGCCCCCAUGCAGCACAGUUCUACUCUGACACACAUGGGGUCGCCGUGAGUCGGGGUCACCUCAGUGGUGACUGGUGAGGGUGGGGGCACAGACACAAAUUGACUUGUGGAAAAGCUGUAAGUCAUUUCUAAUGUCUGCACAAUAUUUCUAGAUGAUUUGUGAACACUAUUUAGGAACAUGAUUUUUAAAUUUUGCUAUAUUUUUAAAAAAUAAAAAUAGAGCUGUGUUCAGUGGGUUUUGUUUGUUGAUCUACUUCUUUCUGUCUACGUGUUAAAAAAAA